rnacentral:misc_RNA from 1 species
GAAAUGCGAUAAGUAGUGUGAAUUGCAGAAUUCAGUGAAUCAUCGAAUCUUUGAACGCACAUUGCGCCCCUCGGUAUUCCAUGGGGCAUGCCUGUUCGAGCGUCAUUUGUACCCUCAAGCUCUGCUUGGUGUUGGGUGUUUGUCCCCGUCUCCGCGCGUGGACUCGCCCCAAAGUGAUUGGCAGCCGGCGUACUGGUCCCGGAGCGCAGCACAUGUCGCGCAAACGAGUGCCUUGGUACGGCGGCGUCCAUAAGCCCCUCUCUCACGCUCUUGACCUCGGAUCAGGUAGGGAUACCCGCUGAACUUAAGC